rnacentral:rRNA from 1 species
GACGAACGCUGGCGGCGUGCUUAACACAUGCAAGUCGAACGGAAAGGCCCUGCUUUUGUGGGGUGCUCGAAUGGCGAACGGGUGAGUAACACGUGAGUAACCUGCCCUUGACUUUGGGAUAAAUUCAGGAAACUGGGGCUAAUACCGGAUAGGAGCUCCUGCUGCAUGGUGGGGGUUGGAAAGUUUCGGCGGUGGGGGCUGGACUCGCGGCUUACCAGCUUGUUGGUGGGGUAGUGGCUUACCAAGGUUUUGACGGGUAGCCGGCCUGAGAGGGUGACCGGCGACAUUGGGACUGAGAGACGGAGCAGAAUCGUACGGGAGGCAGCAGUGGGGAAUAUUGCGCAAUGGGCGGAAGCCUGAUGCAGCAACGCUGCGUGCGGGAUGACGGCCUUCGGGUGAUAAACAGCUUUCGCCGGUGACGAAGCGUGAGUGACGGUAAUGGGUAAAGAAGCACCGGCUAACUACGUG